rnacentral:lncRNA from 1 species
UGAACUUUUACCUCGAAUUUGAUAUAAGCAGUCACUCGGUACCAAAAUCUAUGACAAACUAAACCAAUUUUUAUUUUGAAAAGAUCAUUUUCUCCCACUUAAGUAUCAAUAUACUAAUUUCACCUGCAUAUGCGAUAUACAUUUCUCAACUCAUUUAGUAUUCAAGAUCUUGCAGUUGCUACGCAGACUUUAGAACACGACAAUUAGCAAAAAGUCGAUGAACCAGUCUUUUUUCAAAGAACGUCUCGUCUUUAUCUGUAAAAAAAAG